rnacentral:lncRNA from 1 species
GGUAUGACAGUUAUACCUGCCUUAUUUGCUUCAGAGCCAGCCAAACCGUUUUGAAUUUGAAAAAAAAUGCAGAACUUUCAGAUGGGAUUUGUCCUCGCUGCCAAGCUUUGGAUAGGUGAGUAGCAUAGCAAGUGAAAAUGAGGGCCGCUCCAAUACUGGUGGCUAGGAUGUGUAACUGAAGCAGAAAUCGAUAGAUAGUGAAUUGGCGAUCAAAGGUG